UACGUAGGGCGCAAGCGUUAUCCGGAAUUAUUGGGCGUAAAGAGCUCGUAGGCGGUUUGUCGCGUCUGCCGUGAAAGUCCGGGGCUCAACUCCGGAUCUGCGGUGGGUACGGGCAGACUAGAGUGAUGUAGGGGAGACUGGAAUCCUGGUGUAGCGGUGAAAUGCGCAGAUAUCAGGAGGAACACCGAUGGCGAAGGCAAGUCUCUGGGCAUUAACUGACGCUGAGGAGCGAAAGCAUGGGGAGCGAACAGG
rnacentral:rRNA from 1 species